GAAACCCUACGACCGAUGUCCGAUGACUGACGACCGAAUAGUGGCGGACGGGUGAGUAACGCGUGGGCAACUACCCAUAAGAGGGGGAUAACAGCUGGAAACGGCUGCUAAUACCGCAUAAGCUUUUUUAGGACGUAUGUUUUAGAAAGUAAAGGAGGCGCAAGCUUCCGCUUAUGGAUGGGCCCGCGUCUGAUUAGCUAGUUGGUAGGGUAGAGGCCUACCAAGGCAACGAUCAGUAGCCGGCCUGAGAGGGUGGACGGCCACACUGGGACUGAGAACGGCCCAGACCCCUACGGGAGGCAGCAGUGGGGAAUAUUGCGCAAUGGGGGAAACCCUGACGCAGCGACGCCGCCGUGAGCGAAGAAGGCCUUCGGGUUGUAAAGCUCUGUUGUAAGGGACGAAUGUCUAGGGUAGUAACUGACCUUAGAAUGACGGUACCUUACCAGCAAGCCCCGGCUAACUACGUGCCAGCAGCGGC
rnacentral:rRNA from 1 species